UACGUAGGGGGCUAGCGUUGUCCGGAUUUAUUGGGCGUAAAAGGCUUGUAGGUGGCCACGCCAAGUCGGAUGUGAAAUCUCCCGGCUCAACUGGGAGGGGUCAUUCGAUACUGGCGGGCUCGAGGCCGGUAGGGGGAAGCGGAAUUCCCGGUGUAGUGGUGGAAUGCGUAGAUAUCGGGAGGAACACCGGUGGCGAAGGCGGCUUUCUGGACAGAUACCGACGCUGAGGCACGAAAGCUAGGGGAGCAAACAGG
rnacentral:rRNA from 1 species